UACGAAGGGGGCUAGCGUUGCUCGGAAUUACUGGGCGUAAAGCGCACGUAGGCGGAUCUUUAAGUCAGGGGUGAAAUCCUGGAGCUCAACUCCAGAACUGCCUUUGAUACUGAGGAUCUUGAGUUCGGGAGAGGUGAGUGGAACUGCGAGUGUAGAGGUGAAAUUCGUAGAUAUUCGCAAGAACACCAGUGGCGAAGGCGGCUCACCUGGCCCGAUACUGACGCUGAGGCACGAAAGCGUGGGGAGCAAACAGG
rnacentral:rRNA from 1 species